rnacentral:rRNA from 1 species
GGAUGAGCUCGCGGCCUAUCAGCUGGUUGGUGAGGUAAUGGCUCACCAAGGCGACGACGGGUAGCCGGCCUGAGAGGAUGAUCAGCCACAUUGGGACUGAGACACGGCCCAAACUCCUACGGGAGGCAGCAGUGGGGAAUCUUGCACAAUGGAGGAAACUCUGAUGCAGCGAUGCCGCGUGAGUGAAGAAGGCCCUUGGGUUGUAAAGCUCUUUCGUCGGGGAAGAAAAUGACUGUACCCGAAUAAGAAGGUCCGGCUAACUUCGUGCCAGCAGCCGCGGUAAUACGAAGGGACCUAGCGUAGUUCGGAAUUACUGGGCUUAAAGAGUUCGUAGGUGGUUGAAAAAGUUGGUGGUGAAAUCCCAGAGCUUAACUCUGGAACUGCCAUCAAAACUUUUCAGCUAGAGUAUGAUAGAGGAAAGCAGAAUUUCUAGUGUAGAGGUGAAAUUCGUAGAUAUUAGAAAGAAUACCAAUUGCGAAGGCAGCUUUCUGGAUCAUUACUGACACUGAGGAACGAAAGCAUGGGUAGCGAAGAGGAUUAGAUACCCUCGUAGUCCAUGCCGUAAACGAUGUGUGUUAGACGUUGGAAAUUUAUUUUCAGUGUCGCAGCGAAAGCGAUAAACACACCGCCUGGGGAGUACGACCGCAAGGUUAAAACUCAAAUGAAUUGACGGGGACCCGCACAAGUAGUGGAGCAUGUGGUUUAAUUCGAAGAUACGCGCAGAACCUUACCAACACUUGACAUGUUCGUCGCGACUCUAAGAGAUUAGAGUUUUCGGUUCGGCCGGACGAAACACAGGUGCUGCAUGGCUGUCGUCAGCUCGUGUCGUGAGAUGUUGGGUUAAGUCCCGCAACGAGCGCAACCCUCACUUUUAGUUGCCAUCAUUAAGUUGGGCACUCUGAAAGAACUGCCAGUGAUAAGCUGGAGGAAGGUGGGGAUGACGUCAAGUCCUCAUGGCCCUUACGUGUUGGGCUACACACGUGCUACAAUGGUAUCUACAACAGGAAGCAAGACUGCGAAGUUAAGCAAAUCCCUAAAAGAUACCUCAGUUCGGAUUGCACUCUGCAACUCGAGUGCAUGAAGCUGGAAUUACUAGUAAUCGUGGAUCAGCGUGCCACGGUGAAUGCGUUCCCGGGUCUUGUACACACCGCCCGUCACACCAUGGGAGUUGGUUCUACCUUAAGGCAAGGUUUCAAACCCUUGACCACGGUAUAGUCAGCGACUGGGGUGAAGUCAUAACAAGGUAGCCGUA